rnacentral:rRNA from 1 species
UGGGGAAUAUUGCGCAAUGGGGGGAACCCUGACGCAGCCAUGCCGCGUGAAUGAAGAAGGCCUUCGGGUUGUAAAGUUCUUUCGGUAUUGAGGAAGGUUGAUGUGUUAAUAGCACAUCAAAUUGACGUUAAAUACAGAAGAAGCACCGGCUAACUCCGUACCAGCAGCCGCGGUAAUACGGAGGGUGCGAGCGUUAAUCGGAAUAACUGGGCGUAAAGGGCACGCAGGCGGUUAUUUAAGUGAGGUGUGAAAGCCCCGGGCUUAACCUGGGAAUUGCAUUUCAGACUGGGUAACUAGAGUACUUUAGGGAGGGGUAGAAUUCCACGUGUAGCGGUGAAAUGCGUAGAGAUGUGGAGGAAUACCGAAGGCGAAGGCAGCCCCUUGGGAAUGUACUGACGCUCAUGUGCGAAAGCGUGGGGAGCAAACAGGAUUAGAUACCCUGGUAGUCCACGCUGUAAACGCUGUCGAUUUGGGGGUUGGGGUUUAACUCUGGCGCCCGUAGCUAACGUGAUAAAUCGACCGCCUGGGGAGUACGGCCGCAAGGUUA